rnacentral:rRNA from 1 species
CGAACGGGUGAGUAACGCGUGAGUAACCUGCCCUAGAGUGGGGGACAACAGUUGGAAACGACUGCUAAUACCGCAUAAGCCCACGGUGCCGCAUGACACUGAGGGAAAAGGAUUUAUUCGCUUUAGGAUGGACUCGCGUCCAAUUAGCUAGUUGGUGAGGUAACGGCCCACCAAGGCGACGAUUGGUAGCCGGACUGAGAGGUUGAACGGCCACAUUGGGACUGAGACACGGCCCAG